rnacentral:antisense_RNA from 1 species
UCUGGAGCUCUGAUGUACAACAUGGUGAUUACAGCUAUUAAUGCAUACUUAAAAACUGGAAAGAGUGGACUUUAAAUGUUCUCACCACAAAAAAAAUCUCCCUCCGGGGACCUCUGAGACAUUUCUCCAGGACAAGGAACAGCACGAACACGUCAGCCUGUGUGGAUGAAACCGGGAAGAUGGCCGUGAGCUGUGUGCCCACACAGGGGUGUGGCCGUGGCUCUCAGUGUGAGGCUGGUGGCGACGCUGUAGCACUGUGGAAAACGCAGACCACAGAGCGCAGAGGCGAGUCCGUCUCCGGAGCUGGCAUCAUCAAUGUGGCUAUCACUGGGCAAGGCCAGAAAAAAUAUGGAAUAUAGGAAAAUCGCUGCUGGGCUCAUGUCCUUGGGCCUUCAGCAAAUUUUCUCCUUUAAAAAUUUCCUUUAAUACUGUUGUAAUGUUGCUUUUGCGAAAUAAAAUUCCUGGGACAAAAA